rnacentral:lncRNA from 1 species
UUAAACAGCUUUAUCCAAGCCAGAUAUGAGCAUCUCAUUCUUCUUUGCCAUCUCCUCACUUUCCUGGGAGCCCCUGUACCCAGAGAUGGCCAUAUCAUCUGAUUUUAGCUAAUUGAACAUAAAGAGAGACUCCUGGGGAAAUAGAAAGAGAUUUUACUUCUUAUCAAAAGGAAUGCCCCUUUUCCACCUGCCUUUCUCUUCCCAUUUGGAAUGUGAUGUGGUGAUGUCCUGCUUGCGUGGAGCUACAGCUGCCAUUUUGUGUCAAUGAAGGAAGGACUAGAGACGAUCAACAAUACUCACAUCCCUGAUAUAAUUGAGAUUCUGUUCAAAGAAGAAAAAGAGUAAUUCGCUGAACACUUAUGAACCCACCACCCAGCUUGACGACUAAAAUAUUACCAAAUAUCGGUGAAAAUCCAGUGUGCGGCUAUUGCCUAAUGCUACCCUCCUACGUUCCCCCAAAGCAACAGGAUCCGAAGGAAACUUCUGACAGCUUUGGGGACAACAAGAAACACAGAUGUGCUACCUGCAAACCCUUGAGUUCUCCAUCUUGCUCGCUGUCUCUGAGGGCUGUGGGAAUCCAGGGGCUUAUCCAGUCCGAAGGGAAGUCCGCUGUCUUCUGACAUCAAGAGGAGAAGGAUCUGGAGACUGAUGAAUGUACUCUUGCUGUUAUUGUUGGAGCAGAAUCCUAUACAGUUCUUUGGAAAUUUGUCUGCAGGAUAAUACCAGUCCCAUAUGCAUAUACACCUCCUAAACUGCUGCCACUUGUGGGCUCCAAAUUAAAGCUGCUUUAGUUCACACUCACGUUUAUAGCUAGCAUUCCCCAAAGCAAAUUUAUUGCCAAGUAUUUGGAUUUAGAGCAACUACCAGAAUUAGUCACAGUGAAACCUACACUCACUCUUGGUAACUCAGGUUACUCAAGCUUAGAUUUUCUGCCUCCCUAAAGUGAUGCUAUUCCAGGAACCUUGUUAAACAUGCCUCUAUCAAUCUUGGUUGGAGCUCUGUAGUUCACUAAAGUAAAUCUCCCUAACACUGAAAGGAAAAACUUACUCUUGAUAGCUCUCAAGUUCUUGGAUUAUAUAUUUCUAGAGAGUAGAGACUAGCACUUGGACCAAUACCACGCCUUUUAAUAAAAGAUCUGAUGAUUAAAGUAUUUUUUACACAGAGCCUGCCAAGGCAAGCUUUUAAAUGAGGGGAUUCGUAUAUAGUAAAUGAAAGAAAGAGAAAGAAUUGUUCAUUUGCUUCCAAGUAGAACCUAGGAUUCUUGGGCAAAGUCCUCCUUCUCCUCCUUCCUUAGCAAUUUUACAUACCAGGGACCACAGGAGUCAUGGCCUUGUUCAUGCCACAAAAGGGUUCAUCAAGAGCUCAUCACACGUGAGUCUAUUUAAAAGGCUCCUAAA